rnacentral:rRNA from 1 species
CAGCAGCCGCGGUAAUACGUAGGGGGCGAGCGUUGUCCGGAAUUAUUGGGCGUAAAGCGCGCGCAGGCGGUCCUUUAAGUCUGAUGUGAAAGCCCACGGCUCAACCGUGGAGGGUCAUUGGAAACUGGGGGACUUGAGUGCAGGAGAGGAGAGCGGAAUUCCACGUGUAGCGGUGAAAUGCGUAGCGAUGUGGAGGAACACCAGUGGCGAGGGCGGCUCUCUGGCCUGUAACUGACGCUGAGGCGCGAAAGCGUGGGGAGCAAACAGGAUUAGAUACCCGGGUAGUCCACGCCGUAAACGAUGAGUGCUAAGUGUUAGAGGGGUCACACCCUUUAGUGCUGUAGCUAACGCGAUAAGCACUCCGCCUGGGGAGUACGGCCGCAAGGCUGAAACUUAAAGGAAUUGGCGGG